AACGCGAAGAACCUUACCUAGGCUUGACAUACACGUGAUGGCUUCCAGAGAUGGGAGCUUCCCUUCGGGGCACGUGCACAGGUGCUGCAUGGCUGUCGUCAGCUCGUGCCGUGAGGUGUUGGGUUAAGUCCCGCAACGAGCGCAACCCUUACUCGUAGUUGCCACCCGCAAGGGGGAACUCUACGAGGACUGCUCCGGAUAACGGAGAGGAAGGUGGGGAUGAGGUCAAGUCAGCAUGGCCUUUAUGUCCAGGGCUACACACGUGUUACAAUGCGCGCUACAAAGCGUCGCGAACCCGCGAGGGGGAGCUAAUCGCAAAAAAGCGCGCUCAGUUCGGAUUGCAGUCUGCAACUCGACUGCAUGAAGCCGGAAUCGCUAGUAAUGGCGCAUCAGAACGGCGCCGUGAAUACGUUCCCGGGCCUUGUACACACCGACUGUAC
rnacentral:rRNA from 1 species